rfam:Callithrix jacchus chromosome 12, whole genome shotgun sequence
GUCUACGGCCGUACCACCCUGAACGCGCCCGAUCUCGUCUGAUCUUGGAAGCUAAGCAGGGUCGGGCCUGGAUAGUACUUGGAUGGGAGAAAAGUCUUCCCUGGAUUCAGAGAUCUAAAUGCUGGUCC